GUGACUAUGUAUAGAUAAUAAACAGGUUAGUUGAGGUAAUUGAGGUAAUAUGUACAUGUAGGUAGAGGUAAAGUGACUAUGUAUAGAUAAUAAACAGGUUAGUUGAGGUAAUUGAGGUAAUAUGUACAUGUAGGUAGAGGUAAAGUGACUAUGUAUAGAUAAUAAACAGGUUAGUUGAGGUAAUUGAGGUAAUAUGUACAUGUAGGUAUAGGUAAAGUGACUAUGUAUAGAUAAUAAACAGGUUAGUUGAGGUAAUUGAGGUAAUAUGUACAUGUAGGUAUAGGUAAAGUGACUAUGUAUAGAUAAUAAACAGGUUAGUUGAGGUAAUUGAGGUAAUAUGUACAUGUAGGUAGAGGUAAAGUGACUAUGUAUAGAUAAUAAACAGGUUAGUCGAGGUAAUUGAGGUAAUAUGUACAUGUAGGUAGAGGUAAAGUGACUAUGCAUAGAUAAUAAACAGGUUAGUUGAGGUAAUUGAGGUAAUAUGUACAUGUAGGUAGAGGUAAAGUGACUAUGUAUAGAUAAUAAACAGGUUAGUUGAGGUAAUUGAGGUAAUAUGUACAUGUAGGUAUAGGUAAAGUGACUAUGUAUAGAUAAUAAACAGGUUAGUCGAGGUAAUUGAGGUAAUAUGUACAUGUAGGUAGAGGUAAAGUGACUAUGCAUGGAUAAUAAGUAGCAGCAGCUAUGCCAUUAUUAGCUGAAUUAAUAGUGUUCCCCUGACCACAGCAUACCAAGUUGUUUGCCACAUAAACCAAUAAAACAAUGACUGUAUUGGGAAUGAGAAUUUAGAGUAGAAAUGACAACCGCAUCCGCUGUCAAAAACAAAAAUGCAGACAAUCUUGUUUUAAGAGGCAAUGGAAGACCACCAGCUCUUACUGGUUAAUGACAGAUUAUCAGAUCCUCUGACAGCCCUCACACAGGCAGGCGCUUGAACACACACACACACACACACACACACACACACACGCACGCACGCACGCACGCACGCACGCACGCACGCACGCACACACACACACACACACACACACGCACACGCACACGCACACGCACGCGCACGCACACACACACACACACACACACACACACACACACACACACACACACACACACACACACACACACACACACACACACACACACACACACACACACACACACACACACACGGAAAUGCGCUGGUGGCAAAUCAACAGCUGUUCCCAUAGUUAAAUCAUUGAUCUGAAACAUGCUCAGAACUGCUCUGUUUCAGUAGUGUUGUAUGUUAACCCCAAUAAGACGACAAGCUCUAAUCAUAGUUGUUUUUUCUUUGUUUAAUGAUCUAUUGUUGCAGCCUAGAUAUCGCUGCUUUGUAGAGGUUCACCGUCAUAUCAGCCAUAACUAUUCACAACAGUUAUGCAUGAAGCAUUUGGUGCUUAACUUCUCUCAUUAUUAGGUUUCAAUAACCAUUUUUUUCACUUUGACAGGUUCAUUAAAGCCUCUCAAAAAUAUUCAAAUAUUCAAACGUGCCAUCAUACAUUUAAUCUCCAAACAACCGCAGAGCCAUGUCUCCCUGUAACCAGCUCAUUUCUGUCACAAUUUCAAAGGCUCUCUCUCAAUCCCUUUCUCUCUUCCUCUCUCUUUUGAUUCUCUCCCUUCUCUCUCUCUCUCUCUCUCUCUCUCUCUCUCUCUCUCUCAUUCCCUCACUCUCUUUCUCCCCCCACUCCCCCCUCUCUCUUUUUCUGUCUCUUUCUCUCUCCCACCCUCUUUCACUCUCUGCCACAAAACACAGACAGCUCCUAUUGGCUGAUAGUCUGUCUCGAACCACGUCAAUAUUCCCUGACUCAUGUGUGGGUAUUGGCAGGCACUGGCUCAGCUAAUGGCAGGUGAGGCAGUAGCGCUGUGCUGUGCUGUUUUGUGUCACUUAAUCAAUGCCCUGCAGAGGAGAGAAGUGCCAGACAGCUCAGCACUGGCAGCUCCCUCGGCGUUGGGCACGGCAAACCUUCUGGAGCCAGCAGAGCUGGGGAGGGCAUGGCAUUGCUGCACACAA